GUGACAGAAGAGAGUGAGCACCCAUGGUCUUUUCUUGCAUGCACCGUCGACCAUGCUUGAAGCUAUGUGUGCUCAAUCUCUAUCUGUCAC
rfam:Morus notabilis contig3842, whole genome shotgun sequence.